rnacentral:misc_RNA from 1 species
AAGUCGUAACAAGGUUUCCGUAGGUGAACCUGCGGAAGGAUCAUUAAUACGCUUUUGUUUGUAACAAAACAAAAUGUUUUAAACUCCAAAAGAAAUAGUGGAAAUAUAACUUCCGGAUGCGAAUGUUGGGAACUGAGUAAAAUCGGUUCUUUGAAAAAGGGACUUCAAGCAAUUGACACUUCAGAGUAGAGCAGUGAGGUGAAAUUCUCUUUAUGAGAGUUUGGUUCUGAAAAACAUUUGUAUCCGGUUAUCAUAAUCUGUUCUACAAGUUCUAUCAAACAAUAAACCCCAUGUACAACAACUUGAACUAAACAUUUUUUUGUUAUCUACUUGCACACUUGUUGUGUGAGAAGCUACAAAGAAAAAACCUGAACUUAAGAACAACUCUUAACAACGGAUAUCUUGGUUCUC